UAGUUGAGAAUGCGAUUGGUGGUUAUAGA
rnacentral:piRNA from 1 species